GGAGGGAUGGCCGAGUGGACGAAGGCGACGGUCUUGAAAACCGUUGUGGCCGCAAGGUCACCGGGGGUUCGAAUCCCUCUCCCUCCGCCA
rnacentral:tRNA from 2 species